rnacentral:rRNA from 1 species
CCUACGGGUGGCAGCAGUAGGGAAUCUUUCACAAUGGGCGCAAGCCUGAUGGAGCAACGCCGCGUGUAGGAUGCAGGCCUUCGGGUUGUAAACUGCUUUUAUAAGCGAGAAAUGUGAUGGUAACUAAUGAAUAAGGAUCUGCUAAUUCCGUGACAGCAGCCGCGGUCAAACGUAGGAUCCGAGCAUUAUACUGGGUGACUGGGUGGAAAGAGUAGCGUAGGUGGCAUACUAAGUAGCUAGUGAAAUCGGGUGGCUCAACCAUUCAGACGUUUAGCUGAACUGUUAAGCUCCGGACCGUUGGGGUAGCUGGAAUUUCUGGUGUAGGGGUGAAAUCCGUAGAUAUUAGAAGGAACACCAGUGGCGUAGGCAGGUUGCUGGGACGGUACUGACGCUAAGGCACGAAAGCGUAGGGAGCAAACGGGAUUAGAUACCCGUGUAGUC